AUCUAAGUACCCCGAGGAAAAGAAAUCAACCGAGAUUCCCCCAGUAGCGGCGAGCGAACGGGGAGGAGCCCAGAGCCUGAAUCAGCAUGUGUGUUAGUGGAAGCGUCUGGAAAGGCGCGCGAUACAGGGUGACAGCCCCGUACACAAAAGCGCAUGUGCUGUGAGCUCGAUGAGUAGGGCGGGACACGUGGUAUCCUGUCUGAAUAUGGGGGGACCAUCCUCCAAGGCUAAAUACUCCUGACUGACCGAUAGUGAACCAGUACCGUGAGGGAAAGGCGAAAAGAACCCCGGCGAGGGGAGUGAAAAAGAACCUGAAACCGUGUACGUACAAGCAGUGGGAGCACAGGUUUACCUGUGUGACUGCGUACCUUUUGUAUAAUGGGUCAGCGACUUAUAUUCUGUAGCAAGGUUAACCGUAUAGGGGAGCCGGAGGGAAACCGAGUCUUAAUUGGGCGUUAAGUUGCAGGGUAUAGACCCGAAACCCGGUGAUCUAGCCAUGGGCAGGUUGAAGGUUGGGUAACACUAACUGGAGGACCGAACCGACUAAUGUUGAAAAAUUAGCGGAUGACCUGUGGCUGGGGGUGAAAGGCCAAUCAAACCGGGAGAUAGCUGGUUCUCCCCGAAAGCUAUUUAGGUAGCGCCUCGUGAAUUCAUCUCCGGGGGUAGAGCACUGUUUCGGCUAGGGGGCCAUCCCGGCUUACCAACCCGAUGCAAACUGCGAAUACCGGAGAAUGUUAUCACGGGAGACACACGGCGGGUGCUAACGUCCGUCGUGAAGAGGGAAACAACCCAGACCGCCAGCUAAGGUCCCAAAGUCAUGGUUAAGUGGGAAACGAUGUGGGAAGGCCCAGACAGCCAGGAUGUUGGCUUAGAAGCAGCCAUCAUUUAAAGAAAGCGUAAUAGCUCACUGGUCGAGUCGGCCUGCGCGGAAGAUGUAACGGGGCUAAACCAUGCACCGAAGCUGCGGCAGCGAACGUAUCACUUAAAGCGAUUCAGCGGGUUACGAUUGACGGAGCGAAGCGACGUCAAAGCGUAUACAAAGUCGAGUCGGUUUAAGGAUACGUUCGUUGGGUAGGGGAGCGUUCUGUAAGCCUGUGAAGGUGGCCUGUGAGGG
rnacentral:rRNA from 1 species